rnacentral:rRNA from 1 species
UACGAAGGGGGCUAGCGUUGAUCGGAAUUACUGGGCGUAAAGCGCGCGUAGGUGGUUCAGUAAGUUGGAAGUGAAAUCCCCGGGCUCAACCUGGGAACUGCUUUCAAAACUGCUGAGCUAGAGUACGGUAGAGGGUGGUGGAAUUUCCUGUGUAGCGGUGAAAUGCGUAGAUAUAGGAAGGAACACCAGUGGCGAAGGCGACCACCUGGACUGAUACUGACACUGAGGUGCGAAAGCGUGGGGAGCAAACAGG